rnacentral:rRNA from 1 species
UACGGGGGGAGCAAGCGUUGUUCGGAUUUACUGGGCGUAAAGGGCGCGUAGGCGGUCGUGACAAGUCACUUGUGAAAUCUCCGGGCUUAACUCGGAACGGUCAAGUGAUACUGUAGUGCUAGAGUGCAGAAGGGGCAAUCGGAAUUCUUGGUGUAGCGGUGAAAUGCGUAGAUAUCAAGAGGAACACCUGAGGCGAAGGCGGAUUGCUGGGCUGACACUGACGCUGAGGCGCGAAAGCUAGGGUAGCAAACGGG